rnacentral:rRNA from 1 species
CGUGAGGGAAAGGUGAAAAGAACCCCGGGAGGGGAGUGAAAGAGAACCUGAAACCAUAUGCCUACAAGAAGUCAGAGCCCGUUAAAGGGUGAUGGCGUGCCUUUUGUAGAAUGAACCGGCGAGUUACUGUAUGGAGCGAGGUUAAGCAGGAUAUGCGGAGCCGAAGCGAAAGCGAGUCUUAAGAGGGCGAGAGUUGCAUGCAGUAGACCCGAAACCGGGUGAUCUAGCCAUGACCAGGUUGAAGUUGGGGUAAAACCCGAUGGAGGACCGAACCGACCCCCGUUGAAACGUUGGCGGAUGAGUUGUGGCUAGGGGUGAAAUUCCAAUCGAACCCGGAGAUAGCUGGUUCUCCCCGAAAUAGCUUUAGGGCUAGCGUCGAGGUAAGUUGCGUGAAGGUAGAGCACUGAAUAUGUGAUGGCCCCAUCUCGGGGUACUGAGCAUAAUCAAACUGCGAAUGUCACGCCAACAUGCUCGGCAGUCAGACAGCGGGUGAUAAGGUCCGUUGUCAAGAGGGAAACAGCCCAGACCAUCAGCUAAGGUCCCAAAAUGUAUGCUAAGUGGAAAAGGAUGUGGAGAUGUACAGACAACUAGGAGGUUGGCUCAGAAGCAGCCAUCCUUUAAAGAGUGCGUAACAGCUCACUAGUCGAAUGACUCUGCGCCGAUAAUUUACCGGGGCUAAGCAUACUACCGAAGCUAUGGAUCCCAAGGGAUGGUAGGGGAGCGUUCCAUGAACGGAGAAGUACGACCGAAAGGACGUGUGGAGAUCAUGGAAGAGAGAAUGCCGGUGUGAGUAGCGGAACGUGGGUGAGAAUCCCACGCACCGAAAACCCAAGGUUUCCAGAGGAAGGUUCGUCCGCUCUGGGUAAGUCGGGACCUAAGGCGAGGCCGAAAGGCGUAGUCGAUGGACAACAGGUAGAGAUUCCUGUACCCGUAUAUAUGUGAAGGAAUGACGGAGAGAGGAAGCUGCAGCCAGCGGCUGGAAGAGCUGGUGCAAGCGAGAUAUCGGGAUGGCAGGCAAAUCCACCAUCCGAAACGAGAAGGCGUGAAGCGUACGGAAAGCUACGGCGAGUACGGAAGGCAGUGGAGGAACUUCCAAGAAAAGUUUCUAACGUAAAGUAUAUAUGGCCCGUACCGAAAAUGGACACACAUGGGUGAGGAGAGAAUCCUAAGGUGAGCGAGAGAACUAUAGCUAAGGAACUCUGCAAAAUGACUCCGUAACUUAGGGAGAAGGAGUGCUCAUAGAGAUAUGAGCCGCAGUGAAACGGCCCAAGCGACUGUUUACCAAAAACACAGCUCUCUGCUAAGCCGCAAGGCGAAGUAUAGGGGGUGACGCCUGCCCGGUGCUGGAAGGUUAAGGGGAGGGGUUAACGCAAGUGAAGCCCUGAACUGAAGCCCCAGUAAACGGCGGCCGUAACUAUAACGGUCCUAAGGUAGCGAAAUUCCUUGUCAGGUAAG